rnacentral:rRNA from 1 species
UACGUAGGGUGCAAGCGUUUGUCCGGAAUUAUUGGGCGUAAAGAGCUCGUAGGCGGUCUGUCGCGUCCGCUGUGAAAACUCGAGGCUCAACUUCGAGCUGUCGGUGGAAACUUUCUGGCUAGAGUCCGGAAGAGGAGAAUGGAAUUCCUGGUGUAGCGGUGAAAUGCGCAGAUAUCAGGAAGAACACCGGUGGCGAAGGCGGGUCUCUGGGCCAUAACUGACGCUGAGGAGCGAAAGCGUGGGGAGCGAACAGG